rnacentral:rRNA from 1 species
UACGUAGGGCGCAAGCGUUGUCCGGAAUUAUUGGGCGUAAAGAGCUCGUAGGUGGCUUGUCGCGUCGGGUGUGAAAGCUUGGGGCUUAACUCCAGGUCUGCAUUCGAUACGGGCUGGCUAGAGGUAGGUAGGGGAGAACGGAAUUCCUGGUGUAGCGGUGAAAUGCGCAGAUAUCAGGAGGAACACCGGUGGCGAAGGCGGUUCUCUGGGCCGAUACUGACGCUGAGGAGCGAAAGCGUGGGGAGCGAACAGG